CUGCGCUGCGCCGCCGAGGAGAACUGCUUGGCCAGCUCAGCUUAUCGGGCGGAUGUUAGAGACUAUGACAACCGAGUGCUCCUGAGAUUCCCUCAAAGAGUGAAAAACCAAGGAACUUCAGAUUUCCUACCAAGCAGGCCUCGAUAUUCCUGGGAGUGGCACAGCUGUCACCAGCAUUACCACAGCAUGGAUGAGUUCAGCCACUAUGACUUGUUAGACGCCAGCUCGCACAGAAAAGUUGCUGAAGGACACAAAGCAAGUUUCUGCCUUGAAGAUACCUCCUGUGAUUACGGGUAUUACAGACGAUACGCGUGUACAGCGCACACGCAGGAUUGAGUCCUGGCUGUUACGACACUUACAAUGCUGACAUCGAUUGCCAGUGGAUUGAUAUCACAGAUGUGAAACCUGGAAACUACAUUCUGAAGUCAGCGUAAACCCCAGCUAUUUGGUACCUGAAUCUGAUUACUCCAACAACAUAGUGCGCUGCGAUAUACGCUAUACUGGCCACCAUGCAUAUGCCUCUGGCUGUACAAUUUCACCAUACUGAGAGAGACAUGAGAAGAUGGACGAGACGGUGCCAAGUGUUUUGAACUGAAGUACCAUUGUAUCAAUUUCCAUAGGACGUAAACAGUAUAGAAGCAAACCUACAGAACAUACACACCUACACCCACACACACCAUGUGAUCCUUUUGAAGCGCGUCGGCUGCUUCUCAGCAAAAUCCGAAGCUGGGUUUUAAGCAUCUGAAUUGGCAUUGUGUUUCUAACCAUUGAAAUGAGUGAAUCUGGUGACUCGUGCACAGAUACUCCAAAUUUUGAAGUAUUAGUUCAUUUGCAAAGACAAGCAACCCACAGGCAUUUUUCAACUCCUGCUAAUUCGGAGUUCAGGCGAUGAGAGAUAGACUUCAGUCAGAAUAUUACUGGUGAAUGAGUUGAGCAUAUUCUUAAAAAGGUAGCAAAUCUUUCUGUAAAAUGCAAUAGAAAGUGCUAACGCCAGCUGUCUCAGAAAGCACCAGAAUGAAAAACUGCUUGAGAGUGACCCCACUGUAACCAUUCAGACAAAACUUGCUGGGACGUGUUGAUACGAAUGAGAGAAGUACGUUCAGUUUUCAAGGGAUAUUAACAUAUAGCAGAGAAAUGCAUAUAUCUAUAUCUAUCUAUCAGUUACCCCCCUGCAAGAAAAGCUGUGUUUACACUUUUAAUACGUUAGAAGUUCUACCGUUUCCUUAAGUCCAAAGUGGAUGGGGUUUUGAAAGAAACCUUCCGUCCAUAGGAACAAAUUAAAGAACUUAUCCACCUUUCUACGUUGAAGAGAUCUUUCAAGGUGGGGCUUUUUAAAAGACUUCUGCACACGUAACGUGGAUAGAAAUGAUUACCUGCCAAGGAGAGGGCUCGCAGAGAUGGUGAAGAGUCCCUGGUGCAGUCAUCUGUGAGAAACAGUCCAUUUGAACAGGUUAGCCAUCAGAACAGCGCAGGCAGUUAACUCGGAUGGCACCACGAAAGAAAAGCAGGUCAGAAUCUCUAACGUGGUAUUUCCGUUGUGAGAAAGCCUAAUGCCUACUUCCCCCUUAAGUACUGCAUUUGGCUGUUAAAACUUGGAUCUAUAUCUCAGAAUUCGACCGGCGGAAUUGGGAAUACAGAGGGAGAACAGAAGCAAAUACACUAAGCAUCCUAACUUAGGCUGUUCAGGACCCAAACAUUGCUAAGGGGAAAAACUUCCAGCCCACAUCAAAUUUUUUUUUCACUGAACUUCUUACUGGUGCUGGGUACACCACCCCUCCUCCCAUCCCCAAAUUAUCUUGCUUUUGCAGUGCACCCUGCUGUAAGCUACAGUAGCUGUGAUUUUUGUCUUUAAACUGUGAAAUAACAUAUCACAAGGGGAUCUCGUGCUUUCUUUCGGAAGAUUUCAGAUCAUGUAAAAUGAAGGACCUACUUUUGAGACCAUGACCAUUUUUAAAACCAUGGUGUUGGUUAUGUUUAAGCAGGAGUUCCAUAGUGCCUAACGAAACGUGAAACCUCAGUACCACACACAUAUAUAUAGAUAUAUAGAUAUAUAGAUACAAUAUGUGUGCUAUUCAGUAUAGUUGAAGAAAGGGAAAAAAACCUGAGGAAUACGCAAGGUUUUUGAUCACUGCUGAGAAUACUUCAGGCAGUGUUUGGAAGUGUUUUAUGAAAUAGAACCCUAUGAACUCUGUUUGCAAGUUCUAUCAGUUGUGAUAACCGUUACGGAUCAACGUGUUCUUUACUGCAUAUAUUUAUUUCAGGACUGUAAAGUACUUCCACCUUAAUCAUGACUAGGUUAUGCUUGUAGAGCUAGUUGGUAUGCUGAAAAAGCACCUAAGAACCAACAGCCCCCUUCUCACUGCCCAGUGUUUGAAGCGUGUCCUGAAUGCAGUUUAGACUGCAGGUCCUUUCUUUGUUUGCUCAGAGAUCCAUUUUAGCAAUCAGUUACCACUGUGGGCCCCAAAGAGGAGCAAAAUUUGGAGACCAGCUUUCUUAGGAGGCCAUUUAUUGCAUGCAUCUGCAAAGCGAGGGCCUGGUUCAAGUUUAGGCUUCUGAAAUCUCAGCUCAAACAGUCUUUAAGGUUUGGGGGAUGCAAAUGCAUUCACCUUUCUAGAAACUUAGGUCAGAAUUGGGGUGAAAGUCCUGGCAGCAGCUUGUGCAAUAGAAACACAAGCUACUACUGUAAUGGAAGCUAAGCUGUGGCGGGCACAGACUGCUUCCUGGUAAGAGGUGGUGUGCUCUUACUUCAUGGUGCUUGACACUGAACGUGGGAUAAGAGAGUGCUAACUGGACACAGAGCAGCUGAGGAGUUUCUCCCUCAGUUUUCAAGGCAGUACCCUGCUUGCGUAUCUAUAUCCAAACUACUUGCAGAACUCCACUGAGAUCAGCAAGAAGCCAGAGGAGCUUAAGCAUCCUGUUGUAGGUGGAGCAUGUUGUAGUACUGGACUUGGACCUUUCAGUGGGAAUGGCCUGGUUCGGAAAGGUGCUGAACGCCAUAACUGAGUAUUGGGGAUAUUGUGGUUACAGAGAUGUAGCUCUUUUCCGUAGCAAAACGUUGUAUUUGUUUUAAAGUGUAAGUUAAGGAACAUGACAGUGAUGUACAACAGCACAAACGUUGCCUAAGAUAACACGAGCGAUCUAUCCAGAAAAGCAAGGAGAUUUUAGGAUUAAAAAAAAAAAAAGAAGAAGAAAUGUGACUUUAACUUACCCUAUUUAACUAUAGUUAAUCACAAUGCAGUAGAAGAGUUGAUCAUAUAGCAAGUGUAGAAGCAUUUCUAAAUAGGGGAGUGCCAGCCAGUAUCUUCAGUAUCUUGGCUUUGCAGUUUUGACCCAGGUAUCUUAACUAUUUUCAUACUGGAAUAUAUUUAAGAAAUUACAUGCAUUUUUUUGUUUGUUUGUUUGUUUGUUUUUGUUGAAAACCAUUUAUAUAUAUAUAUAUAUAUAAAAAAAAAAAAACAGUUUUGAUAACAUCUUAUGAAGCAAAUUCUGUCUUGGAACCCUUCCUGCCAGGCGUUUGAAUGGGAGUCAGUGGGAGCAGUAUCAUAUGAGUCGCAGUACAAAAUCACUGCCGUGUGGUCUGAGAUCCUCUUUGAAAUGUGAGGACAUGAAGUACAUGUGCGAAGCAGUCGCCUCCCACAUUUCAGGCCUUCAGAUAAAAGCUGCUCAUAAGGAACACGCUGCGUAUCAGGCUCCCUACAGAAGGGGUUCGUUACGUGGUUUUUUUUUUUUUAAUCCUGAAAUAUAUUUAGUAUUUGAAUACUUCUAGACAAAAACAUGACGAAAAUGACAGAUCGGUCACCAUCUGAACCAGCAUAUUGCGUAGAUGUUUUUUUUUGUGUGUUGGUGAAAGCCUACUCGUUUUCUCUCUGCUCCAAAGUUUACUGUGCAGCGUUGAAUGGGUGCAAACACCAAACGUACCUUAGUCAUUUAUGUGUUGUUUGUACUGUACUCAUUCAAACCAGCAGGGUGAAUUUCACACCAGACAACCAAAGGUGGUUUAUCCUGUGUCUCACAUUUAUGCUGACAUGGCAUUUUUCAUUUUCUCCAAAUCCUAGAAGGUGCUGAAAGGUUUUAACUUGAAUUAAAACCGAUGAGUAUGUUACGGGGAGGUUUCUAUUAUGCAACUAACUGCUACAGAUUCAGUGAAAUGCCACUUGUUUUUGCAGCUUUUUUUGAAGUUUUCAUUAUUUCCUUCACUUUUCUUCCAACAGUCUUGACUUCAGCAAAACUUUGCAUCUUUAUCUGAUGAGUUCUUAUUUAUAAUAUUCAGACACUAGCUUUGUAUUCUUUAUUGCACUUUCAUAUUCUUGUGUUACAUGCCCGUAUUAUGGUUGCAAGUUUAUGUGAAAAUGACUUGAAUAAAACUUUUCA
ensembl:lncRNA